GACGAACGCUGGCGGCGUGCUUAACACAUGCCAGUCGAACGGAAAGGCCCUGCUUUUGUGGGGUGCUCGAGUGGCGAACGGGUGAGUAACACGUGAGUAACCUGCCCUUGACUUUGGGAUAACUUCAGGAAACUGGGGCUAAUACCGGAUAGGAGCUCCUGCUGCAUGGUGGGGGUUGGAAAGUUUCGGCGGUUGGGGCUGGACUCGCGGCUUAUCAGCUUGUUGGUGGGGAGUGGCUGACCAAGGCUUUGACGGGUAGCCGGCCUUGGAGGGUGACCGGGCACAUGGGGACUGAGAUACGGCCCAGACUCCUACGGGAGGCAGCAGUGGGGAAUAUUGCACAAUGGGCGGAAGCCUGAUGCAGCAACGCCGCGUGCGGGAUGACGGCCUUCGGGUUGUAAACCGCUUUCGCCGGUGACGAAGCGUGAGUGACGGUAAUGGGUAAAGAAGCACCGGCUAACUACGUG
rnacentral:rRNA from 1 species